AUGAAGUUGGGACACAUGAAGUCACAUGAUUGCCACGUAAUGUUGACACAAAUCCUCCCGGUGGCCAUCAGGAAUCUGAUGGACAAAGGUAUAAGAAACACACUCAUUGACCUCUAUGAUUUCUUCAACCAACUAUGGCAGAAAGUUGUAGAUCCUCAAGAGUUGGAUCAUAUGCAAGAUGAUAUUGCAAGAAUAUUGUCCAACCUAGAGAUGUUUUUCCCACCGUCAUUCUUUGAUAUCAUGGUCCAUCUCACUGUGCACCUUGUCGACAAGAUAGAGUAUCAUGGUCCCGUGUUUCUUCGCAACAUGUAUCCCUUCGAGCGGUUCAUGGGAAUCCUGAAGGGCUUUUGUCGGAACUGA
rnacentral:rRNA from 1 species